AGAGGGAUGCGAUAGAGUCGCUGCCGGCGUCUUUACCGGAAGAGUGAGGAAUGAUGAUUAUGGUGAUUGAAAGGAGAUCGUUGCUGUUGACGAGUUGCUUUGCUAACUCGACUGUUGACCGGAGAUGACCAAUUCCCGGCGACGGUAUGAACACGAGCUCAAACGCCAUCGUUCUUUCCCUUUUUAGUGUUUAUGGAUUGGUGUAGCCAGAAAUGGAAAAGAUAUGUUUUAAUAUUGUAAUCAAAGUAGUUUAUUGGGUCACGUAAGUCUGGCCCAUGUAGUUUUGAUUGGGCCAAAAAAGCCUAAAAUAAAUCGCAGCCGCCAAGGAAACCCUAAUUAUGUCAGAUGAGUUUCUGUGUAUUUAUACGUUUUUUUCAUCUUCUCCAUACCAAAUCGUAGGAUAUUUCUCUCUUUUAUUGUGUAUGUGCGAUUAAUUUGGCGAUUUUAGGGUUUUGUGUAAAGAGAUUUUGAGUUUUUUUUGGGAUGUGGAAGGGUUUAUGGUGAUGAUACAAUUACGUUGUGGACUAGAGUUUCAGAUCUGGGCACUUCACCCAGAAGUUGAAGAGUAACCCUUGGCUGUCUGAGUAUUCCCUUUCACACUCAUUAUAUAUAAUCUUUCGAUUGAUUUGAAAAUCAACUUUUUCUUGUUUGCAUUGAUGUUUGUUUUCUUGUUUUUGGCUUAGAUUGGUUAUAUAAGCUUAUGAUGACAAAAACAAUUAUCUUAGCGGAUUUCAGUGAGGUUUUAAUGAUCAAUGAUCUGAUUUUGUUACACACACUGAAGCUUUAUUACCAAAGUUUGUGUUUUUGUUUAGUUAUUAUAUGAUUUUUUUGAUGCGAUGAUGAGAUAAAAACACGAAGAGUGUAAGAAGAGCAGUGGACAAUAAACAAUUUCGUUUGUUUAUUGCCGUGAGCUUUCCUAAUUUAACGACUUCUCCUUCCACUGAGCAUUUGGUAAUUUAUUUUUUUCUAAAUCCAAUAUGAAUUGUGAGUGAGUCUGUUUGUGUUUUUUAUCUGGCGUCCAUUACCAAUAUUGAGAGAUAAACACAAUUCUUUUAGGUAUAAUGGCUUGUGACGCAAUAUUAGUUAAUUGUGGUAUAUCCUGAUCAUCUUGCUUUCAUAUCUGCCUUUUGAUCCUGGAAAUGCCUCGCACAUUAUUACAAAAUCAGUGAUUCAUUAAUUAUCUCUCGGUGUAAUUCUCGUUUGCCUCUGUGUUUGAGUUAUCCCAUUUAACAUCAUCAUCCCUUAUAGAUUUUUGUAAUUCCUUCCACCAUUGCAGUACUGGCAACAACUAUACUUCGAUGGAAGUUAUUGCAAGAGUUUAAAAAGAAUGAUGCUCUUAAGGUAGUGAUCAAGGGCCUUGAGAUUGAUGUGUGUUAAAAAGGAUGAUGCUCUUAAGGUAGUGAUCAAAGGGCUUGAGAAUGAUGUGAGUUUAGAAAGGAUGAUGCUCUUAGGUAUAAAAGGGCUUGAGAACGAUGUGAAGCCAUUCAUCGAUUUCAGAGAUUGAUCGAACUCUGAUGUAAGAGUUAAAAGAGGCGAAUUUUUUAAGGCCAGAUGAUAUUUUGACGGACGAGUUGACAAUUCUUAGAGCUCCAAAGUCAGAAUCUUUCAAUUGGUUGAUGGUUUGUAUGAGUUGUAUGUCUAUGUUAUAAUCUUUAGAAGAUAACUCCGUGAAACAUGUAAAAAAGCAUUAAUGAAAUUCAUUUCGAAUAACAACUUGUUGACCCUUUUGGUCAUUUUUUAUCCUAUUUAUGAAGCUAAGAUAAUUUGAAC
rnacentral:lncRNA from 1 species